GGCUCAUGGCGACAGAUGACGGUUUCUGUUGGCUGUGCGCUCGAACUCUGCCGCUCAUAGUUGCUCCGAUCUUUCCAGUGCGCUUGUCGUCUCUCAGGCAAACCGCAUCUCCUGCACCAGAGGGACGUCUUAUCAGUUUUUUUUUUUUUCAGUUUCAGCACCAUUCAACUAUUAUUUUCAUUUAAAAUUGAACACACACAUCUCUACGAAAGUGUACUAUUCAUUGACAUUACACUCAUCCGCAAGGAAUCUCUGUAAACAUAAUCCUUAUUCGGUAUAUCGGGGCGUGGCUAAAUCUACAGUUCUGCAAUACGUCACUGUUUUUGACUGAUGUGUCCUCCCAUAUUUGACAUUUCCUGAGCUGUCAUUGGUGGACGCGAAUGGCAUCGAGCCUAGAAACGUGACUGUAUGUUAAUUUUAUGGUAUCCCGAGUACAUUGUGUUCUUCCGCGACUUGGUAAAGUAUGGCGCAAACAAAUCACAUGUUCCAAGAGAGGAAGACUGUUUGUUCUUGGUGUCAGUUUACGUUAUGUAAUUGUUCUCACAUAGUUAAACUGGAACUUUGCUAUGUGCGCCUAGUUCAACGAAGUGUAUCAAAAUUUAAGUGACAGUUACUGCGUGGAAACACAAUCGUUUGUGCUGGAACGAACUUCAAAUGACGGAAAACCAUUAUCUUUCCACUGCAGGUGCGUCCCAGACAGCAAGCACUCGUGGACCAGAUUCGACUGAUUGCUGGCACAUUUGGUUGAGUGCUGGCCAAAGACUGUAAAAGACUGGCACGGCUAUUCACAUUUGGGCCAGAGUCAAUUGUCACGUGUGCUUAUUCACACGAAGAAAGUUGCUAGCCUUUCACUUAAUCAAUCUAUUAUUUUGCCCUCAGUUGUGACGAUAUGUAGCUGAUUUGUCUUGGCUUGACAUAAGAAUUAAGAGUACGUUAUAAAAUCAAUUUCUGUAAUGUACUGGCAUAUCUGAAACAUUAAAGGCAAAUACUCGGA